AGAUACCCUCCCCUACCUCUCGAUCCCUCUCCAGUGAUGACCACAGACAGUCCGGCGGCCCCUCAGGUCGUCAUUACUGCCGGCGACAAGCACACACACUCCCUCGAACCCUACCACUCCCGUUCUCCUCUCCCUCUCCCUCGCCGUCAACGAUGACGAGGAUUAUUUCCGGCGACCAGUUUCGCCGACGACGGUGGUGGUGUCCCCGACGAGACUUCCGAUGGUUCGUGUUCGCAUUGUUGCGGAUUCGGGUGUUUGGUUCGAGUCAACUUGGUUAAACCGAGUUAACUCGGUUCGGGUCUGGGUCAAACAGUCAAGGCAGUCAACACAAGUCAAAGGCGGUCAACGGGACGGCUCGGGUCAGCUUUGGUAUUCUUGGAGCAACUCGGUUCAGUCAAGUUCGGCUUAUUUUGGUUCGGUCAACAGAAGUCAAACCUGGUCAACUUAGCUUUGGUUUUAGUUGACUCGGUCAAACCAAGUCAACUCGGUCAAACACGGUCAGCCCGAGUCAACUCAAUUGACUCGGUCAACUCAGUUAGCGUUUUCGACAUGAGGAUUUGGUAAAGAUUUUACGGCCGUUUAUUUAGUUAUUUUCAUAGUUUAUAUCACGUGAAACGAGCUCUCAAAACCGGAUUGAUUAAGGAAACGUUAUAAAUGAAUUUAAUG
rnacentral:lncRNA from 1 species